GUAGGUGGCAAGCGUUGUCCGGAAUUAUUGGGCGUAAAGCGCGCGCAGGCGGUUCUUUAAGUCUGAUGUGAAAGCCCACGGCUCAACCGUGGAGGGUCAUUGGAAACUGGAGAACUUGAGUACAGAAGAGGAAAGCGGAAUUCCACGUGUAGCGGUGAAAUGCGUAGAGAUGUGGAGGAACACCAGUGGCGAAGGCGGCUUUCUGGUCUGUAACUGACGCUGAGGCGCGAAAGCGUGGGGAGCAAACAGGGAUUAGAUACCCUGGUAGUCCACGCCGUAAACGAUGAGUGCUAAGUGUUAGGGGGGUUUCCGCCCCCUUAGUGCUGCAGCUAACGCAUUAAGCACUCCGCCUGGGGAUACGGCCGCAAGGCUAG
rnacentral:rRNA from 1 species